rnacentral:misc_RNA from 1 species
AACGCACAUUGCGCCCGCUAGUAUUCUGGCGGGCAUGCCUGUUCGAGCGUCAUUUCAACCCUCAAGCCCCCGGGCUUGGUGUUGGGGUUCGGCCCGCCCCUAGCGGCGCGCCGUCCCCGAAAUCUAGUGGCGGUCUCGCGAUAGCCUCCUCUGCGUAGUAGCAAUAUCUCGCACUGGGACUGAGCAAGGCCACGCCGUUAAACCCCCCACUUCUGAAGGUUGACCUCGGAUCAGGUAGGAAUACCCGCUGAACUUAA